AUUGAACGCUGGCGGAAUGCUUUACACAUGCAAGUCGAACGGCAGCACGGACCUCGGUCUGGUGGCGAGUGGCGAACGGGUGAGUAAUGUAUCGGAACGUGCCCAGUCGUGGGGGAUAACGUAGUGAAAAUUACGCUAAUACCGCAUACGAUCUAUGGAUGAAAGCGGGGGAUCGCAAGACCUCGCGCGAUUGGAGCGGCCGAUAUCAGAUUAGGUAGUUGGGGGGGUAAAGGCCCACCAAGCCAACGAUCUGUAGCUGGUCUGAGAGGACGACCAGCCACACUGGAACUGAGACACGGUCCAGACUCCUACGGGAGGCAGCAGUGGGGAAUUUUGGACAAUGGGCGAAAGCCUGAUCCAGCCAUUCCGCGUGCAGGAUGAAGGCCCUCGGGUUGUAAACUGCUUUUGUACAGAACGAAAAGGUUUCUACUAAUACUAGGAGCUCAUGACGGUACUGUAAGAAUAAGCACCGGCUAACUACGUGCCAGCAGCCGCCGUAA
rnacentral:rRNA from 1 species